GGCAAGAUUGUUAAUAUAUUUGAUUUAAUUUAAUUAUAUUUUAGUUAUAGUUAACAGUUGUUGUUUUAGAGUGGGUUCUGUUAAGUAGGGUAGGAAAGGGGGUUGGGAGGAAAAGUUACAUUGAAUUCAACGAAUGCCAUCGCUCUCUGUCUCCACUCUGGAUUUCGAUGUUUCUUUCCUUUAUUUGCUGAUUGUUACUAUUUAUAUUACUGAUAAUUAAAGGACAAAAGGAGAAAGAGAGAGAGGGGGAGGCAGAGUGGAAGCGAGGGAUUCUUUGCUUCUUGGCGGUGUAAACGACGGCGGCGAUGGCGGAGGGGGAAGAGCUUCGGCCUGACUUGCUGAAAAACACGCCUUCUAACAUUGCGAGAUUGGAGGAUGUGAUCGAACACUCUAAAGCAAGGCACAAGUAUCUGGCGCAGACGUGUAGCCCCUCUGAUGGCGGUGAUGUUAGGUGGUACUUUUGUAAGAUCCCUCUCGCUCCCAACGAGUUGGCAGCGUCAGUCCCACGAACAGAGAUGGUAGGCAAGAGUGACUAUUUUCGUUUUGGCAUGAGAGAUUCUCUAGCCAUUGAAGCAUCUUUCUUGCAGGUCAUUUUAUGAAAUAGAGAGGAAGAACUGCUUUCUAGUUGGUGGAGGUAGUAUGCGGAAUGCAGUGAAGGCCCAAGAACUGGAUCUUUUUUGGGACGUAUUGAACCGUCUCAACUCUAUGAAAUAGAAGAAGAGAGGGUUGGUGUCCCUGUAAAGGGAGGACUGUACGAGGUAGACUUGUUUUCCCUGUUUAUUGGAACGGAGAAAACAGACGUGUCGGCCAUUGGUUUGCACGUAAAGGGGGCCUGGAUUGGCUACCACUUCGCGAAGAUGUUGCUGAACAACUAGAGAUUGCUUACCGUAGUCAGGGCUGUAUGAUUAUUCAAAUUAUUCAUUUCAUCGUGUGAUCACCUUUUACAAAUUUCGAAAAUGCUGUUCUGGCACACGAUUACGAAAAUGUGUUCAGCACAACUAUUGCACUUCAAUUACUAGGUAAACUAGGUAAAUGCCAGGGUUUUUCUAACAA